GCUGGGUGCGGUGGUGCGCACCUGUAGUCCCAGCUACUUGGGAGGCUGAGGCAGGAUAAUCACUUGAACCCGGGAGGCAGAGGUUGCAGUGAGCCGAGAUCACGCCACUGCACUCUAGCCUGGGUGACAGGGUGAGACUCUGUCUCAA
rnacentral:SRP_RNA from 1 species